GGUUAAGCGACUAAGCGUACACGGUGGAUGCCCUGGCAGUCAGAGGCGAUGAAGGACGUGCUAAUCUGCGAUAAGCGUCGGUAAGGUGAUAUGAACCGUUAUAACCGGCGAUUUCCGAAUGGGGAAACCCAGUGUGUUUCGACACACUAUCAUUAACUGAAUCCAUAGGUUAAUGAGGCGAACCGGGGGAACUGAAACAUCUAAGUACCCCGAGGAAAAGAAAUCAACCGAGAUUCCCCCAGUAGCGGCGAGCGAACGGGGAGCAGCCCAGAGCCUGAAUCAGUGUGUGUGUUAGUGGAAGCGUCUGGAAAGGCGCGCGAUACAGGGUGACAGCCCCGUACACAAAAAUGCACAUACUGUGAGCUCGAUGAGUAGGGCGGGACACGUGGUAUCCUGUCUGAAUAUGGGGGACCAUCCUCCAAGGCUAAAUACUCCUGACUGACCGAUAGUGAACCAGUACCGUGAGGGAAAGGCGAAAAGAACCCCGGCGAGGGGAGUGAAAAAGAACCUGAAACCGUGUACGUACAAGCAGUGGGAGCACGCUUCGGCGUGUGACUGCGUACCUUUUGUAUAAUGGGUCAGCGACUUAUAUUCUGUAGCAAGGUUAACCGAAUAGGGGAGCCGAAGGGAAACCGAGUCUUAACUGGGCGUUAAGUUGCAGGGUAUAGACCCGAAACCCGGUGAUCUAGCCAUGGGCAGGUUGAAGGUUGGGUAACACUAACUGGAGGACCGAACCGACUAAUGUUGAAAAAUUAGCGGAUGACUUGUGGCUGGGGGUGAAAGGCCAAUCAAACCGGGAGAUAGCUGGUUCUCCCCGAAAGCUAUUUAGGUAGCGCCUCGUGAAUUCAUCUCCGGGGGUAGAGCACUGUUUCGGCAAGGGGGUCAUCCCGACUUACCAACCCGAUGCAAACUGCGAAUACCGGAGAAUGUUAUCACGGGAGACACACGGCGGGUGCUAACGUCCGUCGUGAAGAGGGAAACAACCCAGACCGCCAGCUAAGGUCCCAAAGUCAUGGUUAAGUGGGAAACGAUGUGGGAAGGCCCAGACAGCCAGGAUGUUGGCUUAGAAGCAGCCAUCAUUUAAAGAAAGCGUAAUAGCUCACUGGUCGAGUCGGCCUGCGCGGAAGAUGUAACGGGGCUAAACCAUGCACCGAAGCUGCGGCAGCGACACUAUGUGUUGUUGGGUAGGGGAGCGUUCUGUAAGCCUGUGAAGGUGUACUGUGAGGUAUGCUGGAGGUAUCAGAAGUGCGAAUGCUGACAUAAGUAACGAUAAAGCGGGUGAAAAGCCCGCUCGCCGGAAGACCAAGGGUUCCUGUCCAACGUUAAUCGGGGCAGGGUGAGUCGACCCCUAAGGCGAGGCCGAAAGGCGUAGUCGAUGGGAAACAGGUUAAUAUUCCUGUACUUGGUGUUACUGCGAAGGGGGGACGGAGAAGGCUAUGUUGGCCGGGCGACGGUUGUCCCGGUUUAAGCGUGUAGGCUGGUUUUCCAGGCAAAUCCGGAAAAUCAAGGCUGAGGCGUGAUGACGAGGCACUACGGUGCUGAAGCAACAAAUGCCCUGCUUCCAGGAAAAGCCUCUAAGCAUCAGGUAACAUCAAAUCGUACCCCAAACCGACACAGGUGGUCAGGUAGAGAAUACCAAGGCGCUUGAGAGAACUCGGGUGAAGGAACUAGGCAAAAUGGUGCCGUAACUUCGGGAGAAGGCACGCUGAUAUGUAGGUGAAGUCCCUCGCGGAUGGAGCUGAAAUCAGUCGAAGAUACCAGCUGGCUGCAACUGUUUAUUAAAAACACAGCACUGUGCAAACACGAAAGUGGACGUAUACGGUGUGACGCCUGCCCGGUGCCGGAAGGUUAAUUGAUGGGGUUAGCGGUAACGCGAAGCUCUUGAUCGAAGCCCCGGUAAACGGCGGCCGUAACUAUAACGGUCCUAAGGUAGCGAAAUUCCUUGUCGGGUAAGUUCCGACCUGCACGAAUGGCGUAAUGAUGGCCAGGCUGUCUCCACCCGAGACUCAGUGAAAUUGAACUCGCUGUGAAGAUGCAGUGUACCCGCGGCAAGACGGAAAGACCCCGUGAACCUUUACUAUAGCUUGACACUGAACAUUGAGCCUUGAUGUGUAGGAUAGGUGGGAGGCUUUGAAGUGUGGACGCCAGUCUGCAUGGAGCCGACCUUGAAAUACCACCCUUUAAUGUUUGAUGUUCUAACGUUGACCCGUAAUCCGGGUUGCGGACAGUGUCUGGUGGGUAGUUUGACUGGGGCGGUCUCCUCCUAAAGAGUAACGGAGGAGCACGAAGGUUGGCUAAUCCUGGUCGGACAUCAGGAGGUUAGUGCAAUGGCAUAAGCCAGCUUGACUGCGAGCGUGACGGCGCGAGCAGGUGCGAAAGCAGGUCAUAGUGAUCCGGUGGUUCUGAAUGGAAGGGCCAUCGCUCAACGGAUAAAAGGUACUCCGGGGAUAACAGGCUGAUACCGCCCAAGAGUUCAUAUCGACGGCGGUGUUUGGCACCUCGAUGUCGGCUCAUCACAUCCUGGGGCUGAAGUAGGUCCCAAGGGUAUGGCUGUUCGCCAUUUAAAGUGGUACGCGAGCUGGGUUUAGAACGUCGUGAGACAGUUCGGUCCCUAUCUGCCGUGGGCGCUGGAGAACUGAGGGGGGCUGCUCCUAGUACGAGAGGACCGGAGUGGACGCAUCACUGGUGUUCGGGUUGUCAUGCCAAUGGCACUGCCCGGUAGCUAAAUGCGGAAGAGAUAAGUGCUGAAAGCAUCUAAGCACGAAACUUGCCCCGAGAUGAGUUCUCCCUGACUCCUUGAGAGUCCUGAAGGAACGUUGAAGACGACGACGUUGAUAGGCCGGGUGUGUAAGCGCAGCGAUGCGUUGAGCUAACCGGUACUAAUGAACCGUGAGGCUUAACCUU
rnacentral:rRNA from 1 species